UACGUAGGGCGCGAGCGUUGUCCGGAAUUAUUGGGCGUAAAGAGCUCGUAGGCGGCUUGUCACGCGGUUGUGAAAGCCCGGGGCUUAACCCCGGGUCUGCAGUCGAUACGGGCAGGCUAGAGUUCGGUAGGGGGAGAUCGGAAUUCCUGGUGUAGCGGUGAAAUGCGCAGAUAUCAGGAGGAACACCGGUGGCGAAGGCGGAUCUCUGGGCCGAUACUGACGCUGAGGAGCGAAAGCGUGGGUAGCAAACAGG
rnacentral:rRNA from 1 species